GAGGAAUAUUGGUCAAUGGGCGAGAGCCUGAACCAGCCAAGUCGCGUGAAGGAUGAAGGAUCUAUGGUUUGUAAACUUCUUUUAUAUGGGAAUAAAGUGAGGAACGUGUUCCUUUUUGUAUGUACCAUAUGAAUAAGCAUCGGCUAACUCCGUGCCAGCAGCCGCGGUAAUACGGAGGAUGCGAGCGUUAUCCGGAUUUAUUGGGUUUAAAGGGUGCGUAGGUGGUUAAUUAAGUCAGCGGUGAAAGUUUGUGGCUCAACCAUAAAAUUGCCGUUGAAACUGGUUGACUGGAUUAUAUUUGAGGUAGGCGGAAUGCGUGGUGUAGCGGUGAAAUGCAUAGAUAUCACGCAGAACUCCGAUUGCGAAGGCAGCUUACUAAACUAUAACUGACACUGAAGCACGAAAGCGUGGGGAUCAAAC
rnacentral:rRNA from 1 species